rnacentral:rRNA from 1 species
UGCUUGCACUUCGCUGACGAGUGGCGGACGGGUGAGUAAUACUUAGGGAUCUGCCUUCGGGAGGGGGAUAACCAUUGGAAACGAUGGCUAAUACCGCAUAACGUCUACGGACCAAAGGGGGCUUCGGCUCUCACCUGAAGAGGAACCUAAGCGAGAUUAGCUAGUUGGUGAGGUAAAGGCUCACCAAGGCGACGAUCUCUAGCUGUUCUGAGAGGAAGAUCAGCCACACUGGGACUGAGACACGGCCCAGACUCCUACGGGAGGCAGCAGUGGGGAAUAUUGCACAAUGGGGGAAACCCUGAUGCAGCCAUGCCGCGUGUGUGAAGAAGGCCUUCGGGUUGUAAAGCACUUUCAGUCGUGAGGAAAGGUUAGUGGUUAAUACCCAUUAGCUGUGACGUUAGCGACAGAAGAAGCACCGGCUAACUCCGUGCCAGCAGCCGCGGUAAUACGGAGGGUGCAAGCGUUAAUCGGAAUUACUGGGCGUAAAGCGCACGCAGGCGGAUUGUUAAGCUAGAGGUGAAAGCCCCGCGCUCAACGUGGGAAUUGCCUUUAGAACUGGCAGUCUAGAGUCUUGGAGAGGGGGGUGGAAUUCCAGGUGUAGCGGUGAAAUGCGUAGAGAUCUGGAGGAACAUCAGUGGCGAAGGCGGCCCCCUGGCCAAAGACUGACGCUCAUGUGCGAAAGUGUGGGUAGCGAACAGGAUUAGAUACCCUGGUAGUCCACACCGUAAACGCUGUCUACUAGCUGUUUGCGUAUUUAAUACGUGAGUAGCGUAGCUAACGCGCUAAGUAGACCGCCUGGGGAGUACGGCCGCAAG